AAAUUACUAAAAAAUAUCAAAUGAUAAAAUAAAAAAAUAUUAAAAAUCAUUUUUAGAAAGUAGAAAUUAAAAGGAGAAGAAUGAAAUUGAUCCCAUAAUUUUUGGACCAAUAAUGAGAGAGAUAUGAAUUUUCAAAAUGAAAUGGAAUUAAAAUAAUAAAAGGAAAAUAAAAUCAGAAAAUAGAAAAAGAGAAAAAGCGUGAGCCAUUGGAUGAUCUCUCAUUAAUUGA
rnacentral:lncRNA from 1 species